rnacentral:rRNA from 1 species
UACAGAGGUCUCAAGCGUUGUUCGGAUUCAUUGGGCGUAAAGGGUGCGUAGGUGGCGCCGUAAGUCGGGUGUGAAAUUCGGAGCUUAACUCCGAAACUGCAUUCGAUACUGCGGUGCUUGAGGACUGGAGAGGAGACUGGAAUUCAUGGUGUAGCAGUGAAAUGCGUAGAGAUCAUGAGGAAGACCAGUGGCGAAGGCGGGUCUCUGGACAGUUCCUGACACUGAGGCACGAAGGCCAGGGGAGCAAACGGG